AGUCUGAUGGAGCAACGCCGCGUGAGUGAAGAAGGUUUUCGGAUCGUAAAACUCUGUUGUUGGAGAAGAACACGUUUGAGAGUAACUGUUCAGACGUUGACGGUAUCCAACCAGAAAGCCACGGCUAACUACGUGCCAGCAGCCGCGGUAAUACGUAGGGGGCAAGCGUUGUCCGGAAUGAUUGGGCGUAAAGGGCGCGUAGGCGGCCCGGUAAGUCUGAAGUGAAAGUCCUGGUUUUAAGUUGGGAAUUGCUUUGGAUACUGUCGGGCUUGAGUGCAGGAGAGGUAAGUGGAAUUCCCAGUGUAGCGGUGAAAUGCGUAGAGAUUGGGAGGAACACCAGUGGCGAAGGCGACUUACUGGACUGUAACUGACGCUGAGGCGCGAAAGUGUGGGGAGCAAACA
rnacentral:rRNA from 1 species